rnacentral:rRNA from 1 species
CAGUAGCCGCGGUAAUACGUAGGUGGCAAGCGUUGUCCGGAAUUAUUGGGCGUAAAGGGCUCGCAGGCGGUUUCUUAAGUCUGAUGUGAAAGCCCCCGGCUCAACCGGGGAGGGUCAUUGGAAACUGGGAAACUUGAGUGCAGAAGAGGAGAGUGGAAUUCCACGUGUAGCGGUGAAAUGCGUAGAGAUGUGGAGGAACACCAGUGGCGAAGGCGACUCUCUGGUCUGUAACUGACGCUGAGGAGCGAAAGCGUGGGGAGCGAACAGGAUUAGAUACCCGAGUAGUCCCUGUCUCUUAUAA